rnacentral:rRNA from 1 species
GUUGGAGGGCAAGUCUGGUGCCAGCAGCCGCGGUAAUUCCAGCUCCAAUAGCGUAUAUUAAAGUUGUUGCAGUUAAAGAGCUCGUAGUUGAACCUUGGGCCUGGCUGGCCGGUCCGCCUCACCGCGUGCACUGGUUCGGCCGGGCCUUUCCCUCUGGGGAACCCUAUGGUCUUCACUGAUCGUAGCGGGGAACCAGGACUUUUACUGUGAAAAAAUUAGAGUGUUCAAAGCAGGCCUAUGCUCAAAUACAUUAGCAUGGAAUAAUAAAAUAGGACGUGUGGUUCUAUUUUGUUGGUUUCUAGGACCGCCGUAAUGAUUAAUAGGGACAGUCGGGGGCAUCAGUAUUCAAUUGUCAGAGGUGAAAUUCUUGGAUUUAUUGAAGACUAACUACUGCGAAAGCAUUUGCCAAGGAUGUUUUCAUUAAUCAGGAACGAAAGUUAGGGGAUCGAAGACGAUCAGAUACCGUCGUAGUCUUAACCAUAAACUAUGCCGACUAGGGAUCGGACGGUGUUAUUUUUGACCCGUUCGGCACCUUACGGGAAAC